AUGGACGAAAGUCUGACGGAGCAACGCCGCGUGAGUGAAGAAGGUUUUCGGAUCGUAAAACUCUGUUUUCAGGGACGAAUGUGCGAUAUGUGAAUAAUGUGUUGUAAUGACGGUACCUGACAAGAAAGCCACGGCUAACUACGUGCCAGCAGCCGCGGUAAUACGUAGGUGGCAAGCGUUGUCCGGAAUUAUUGGGCGUAAAGCGCGCGCAGGUGGGAUAAUAAGUCUGAUGUUAAAGUUCGGGGCUCAACCCCGUGAAGCAUUUGGAUACUGUUAUUCUUGAGUGCAGGAGAGGAAAGUGGAAUUCCUAGUGUAGCGGUGAAAUGCGUAGAUAUUAGGAGGAACACCAGUGGCGAAGGCGACUUUCUGGACUGUGUCUGACACUGAGGCGCGAAAGCCAGGGUAGUGAACGGGAUUAGAUACCCCGGUAAUCCUGGCCGUAAACGAUGGGUACUAGGUGUUGGGGGUAUCGACCCCUCCAGUGCCGGAGUUAACGCAAUAAGUACCCCGCCUGGGGGAGUA
rnacentral:rRNA from 1 species